CCUCCGCUCCUCCUCCUCCUCCUCCCACUGCUCCCGGCUGGCUGCGGUCGCUCCCGCGGACCGACGAGGCCGCCCAAGGAGCGCGAUUUGGUACUAGCAGGCCGUGGGCCCGCUUCUUAAUUCUAGGGCUUAUUACAAUUAUCUUACCUUUUGGAGCGGCCCGAGCAGCUGACACGCGAGGAGAAGCCGUCCCGGGCAGGGACCUGGAUGUGCGAUGAGAAGGGGAGUGCAGGUCGAUGCCGAAGCAAAUAAAGCUUGAGCUUGGGCUUGAGGACAAAACAUCGCUUUAGCCUCACGCUGGGCACAGAGUGCAGGAUGUAACUGCAACCCCGGGGCAAACUUCAUCCACUUGGACACUCCUGAGGAGCAGUGCAAAGAAUCCCUUCCGAAGCCUUCAUUGAAAAAACAAAAUAGCAGUUUGGAGAAUCUGGCUGCAGGGGUAAAAGCUGCAAUAAACAAUGCACAAACCAUCCGA